rnacentral:rRNA from 1 species
UACGUAGGGGGCAAGCGUUGUCCGGAAUCAUUGGGCGUAAAGCGCGUGUAGGCGGUCCGGUAAGUCCGCUGUGAAAGUCGGGGGCUCAACCCUCGGAUGCCGGUGGAUACUGUCGGGCUUGAGUACGGAAGAGGCGAGUGGAAUUCCUGGUGUAGCGGUGAAAUGCGCAGAUAUCAAGGAGGAACACCAAUUGCGAAGGGCAGCUCGCUGGGACGUUACUGACGCUGAGACGCGAAACGUGGGGAGCAAACAGG